GACGAACGCUGGCGGCGUGCUUAACACAUGCAAGUCGAACGGAAAGGCCCUGCUUUUGUGGGGUGCUCGAGUGGCGAACGGGUGAGUAACACGUGAGUAACCUGCCCUUGACUUUGGGAUAACUUCAGGAAACUGGGGCUAAUACCGGAUAGGAGCUCCUGCUGCAUGGUGGGGGUUGGAAAGUUUCGGCGGUUGGGGAUGGACUCGCGGCUUAUCAGCUUGUUGGUGGGGUAGUGGCUUACCAAGGCUUUGACGGGUAGCCGGCCUGAGAGGGUGACCGGCCACAUUGGGACUGAGAUACGGCCCAGACUACUACGGGAGGCAGCAGUGGGGAAUAGUGCACAAGGGGCGGAAGCCUGAUGCAGCAACGCAGCGUGCGGGAUGACGGCCUUCGGGUUGUAAACCGCUUUCGCCUGUGACGAAGCGUGAGUGACGGUAAUGGGUAAAGAAGCACCGGCUAACUACGUG
rnacentral:rRNA from 1 species